UCUAGUUCUAAGGUCUCAGCCUUGCAAUGCUCUCUGCAAACUCACAAAAACCUUUCCCUGCGCAACACAUGCAAACAGGUGUCCUUCCUUCCAGAUGAAUCAGAACGGAUUCCCAUCAAACAUGCCACUCUGAUGGCUGUGUGUUUGUUCAGUGGUGUAUCUUAGGUGAGCUCGGCUCUACAGUCCUAGCCGACCCUCCUUCAUAUAUUCAGCACGGUAUUUCACAGUGUGCAUACAUUCAUUGUGGGGGCACUAGGCCUUGUGUUUAAUGUUGUACAUUAAUUUAUUUAAAUAGGCAACCCAGGAGUUGGACUCCAUGACCAUUCUCACUGUCCACUGGUAGGGUUGGAGGCAGGCACAAGCUGAGUGACCUCAAAGGGCAGAGUAAUUAGUUGCUGAGAGCUAUUCUAUUGGGAGUCUGCUAAGUUACUAUACGGAGGAACGAGGCCAUGGUCAGUGCUGCUCAAUGGGUGUCUCACCCUUCCCAUGCUGGGCCUUUGCAGUGACGUUUAAACCAUGCCAAUCCGAUCUCAGAGUGGUUGGCCCUGAAGGGCUGCUGGUCUGAAAAGAGGAUGUCAUUUCUUCUUGUCCCAGGGUCUACAUUGUGAGCUCACUUGUUGCACGUGGAGGCCAUGCCACCGGAGUUUUCUACCAACAGGAGCACCUGGGCAGCUCAGAAAUGAAGUCGAUGGCUACUAAGUCCUUGGUACCUGCUGACCAUGGUUGAAUCCAGGACACAGACUCUUCCAACAGAGGCUGACACUCUUGCCAACUUCCCAAGCAUCUUAGGGGCAAUCCCUACUUUGCAAACUCACAACAGGGAAGUGGAUGGUGGAAGCCAGGAGGGCCCGGAAGUGCCCAUUUCUUUCUGCUCUCCUAUUACUGGCUGUGAGAAGAAAUGGGAAGUGACUGCCUGAGUAUGAGGAGUCCAAGAAUAUAGCUGGGAAGGCAAUGCUCAAAAGGGGGAGAUAGUUUUAGAUCUUUCUAUGGGUGCCUGGAGUGAGAAUCUUCUCUGUUAAUUUGGGGAAUUAACAGAACACCCUCAGUUUUUUCCACAGACUUGUUAAGAAUUAACUGGCUCUUUCUUCUCUCUUUGCCUAAAUCACCACAAGUCCAGAUUCGAAGUGACUGUCUGCAUGUUUUGCCAUCUAAAGAAAGCAAUGGAGUGUGACAAAUAGAGAGAGAGUCUUCUCUUUCAGUGCCAGAAAAUCUCUAGGGAUACACAUGUGCUCACAAAAUGUCCUGGUGAAAAAUCUGAUGCUCUCCUCUGGGGAAACACA